GAGUGAACGCUGGCGGUAGGCCUAACACAUGCAAGUCGAACGGCAGCACAGUAAGAGCUUGCUCUUACGGGUGGCGAGUGGCGGACGGGUGAGGAAUACAUCGGAAUCUACUUUUUCGUGGGGGAUAACGUAGGGAAACUUACGCUAAUACCGCAUACGACCUACGGGUGAACGCAGGGGAUCUUCGGGCCUUGCGCGAUUGAAUGAGCCGAUGUCGGAUUAGCUAGUUGGCGGGGUAAAGGCCCACCAAGGCGACGAUCCGUAGCUGGUCUGAGAGGAUGAUCAGCCACACUGGAACUGAGACACGGUCCAGACUCCUACGGGAGGCAGCAGUGGGGAAUAUUGGACAAUGGGCGCAAGCCUGAUCCAGCCAUACCGCGUGGGUGAAGAAGGCCUUCGGGUUGUAAAGCCCUUUUGUUGGGAAAGAAAAGCAGCAGGUUAAUACCCCGCUGUUCUGACGGUACCCAAAGAAUAAGCACCGGCUAACUUCGUG
rnacentral:rRNA from 1 species